rnacentral:tRNA from 3 species
GCGCCUGUAGCUCAAUGGAUAGAGCAUCUGCCUUCUAAGCAGAGGGCUGCCUGUUCGAGUCAGGCCAGGCGCA